CCUGGCUUAGGACGAACGCUGGCGGCGUGCCUAAUACAUGCAAGUCGAACGGUCUUUUCUAUGGAAGCUUGCUUCCACUGAGAAGAUAGUGGCGAACGGGUGAGUAACACGUGGGUAACCUGCCCAUAAGAGGGGGGAUAACAUCCGGAAACGGGUGCUAAUACCGCAUAGUUUUCUUGAUCGCAUGAUCGGGAAAGGAAAGACGGCCUUUGUGCUGUCGCUUAUGGAUGGACCCGCGGCGUAUUAGUUAGUUGGUGAGGUAACGGCUCACCAAGACGAUGAUACGUAGCCGACCUGAGAGGGUGAUCGGCCACAUUGGGACUGAGACACGGCCCAAACUCCUACGGGAGGCAGCAGUAGGGAAUCUUCCGCAAUGGACGAAAGUCUGACGGAGCAACGCCGCGUGAGUGAAGAAAGGUUUUCGGAUCGUAAAACUCUGUUGUCAGAGAAGAACAAGUUGGAGAGUAACUGCUCCAGCCUUGACGGUAUCUGACCAGAAAGCCACGGCUAACUACGUGCCAGCCGCCGC
rnacentral:rRNA from 1 species